rnacentral:rRNA from 1 species
UGCCAGCCGCCGCGGUAAUACGGAGGGAGCGAGCGUUAAUCGGAAUUACUGGGCGUAAAGCGCGCGUAGGCGGCUUUGUAAGUCGGAUGUGAAAGCCCAGGGCUCAACCCUGGAAUUGCAUUCGAUACUGCAUGGCUAGAGUAUGGUAGAGGGAAGUGGAAUUUCCGGUGUAGCGGUGAAAUGCGUAGAUAUCGGAAGGAACACCAGUGGCGAAGGCGACUUCCUGGGCCAAUACUGACGCUCAUGUGCGAAAGUGUGGGUAGCGAACAGGAUUAGAUA